CUUAAAUUACCCCAUUAGAGGUCCCUGCAUGCCAUUAAGUUGUUAAAGUUCUGUCCCACUGCUAAACCUUGACCAAGAGCGUGUGGUAAGUAGAAUCACCAUUUCAUCUUUCCUUAUAACCCCAAUCUAUCUCUUGUCGGAGUGGGUAUAUCUUUUCCAUUGUGUAAACCUGAACUGAGUCAUUUUGUUUCCAUUGAGUCUCCAGCUGAGUUAAUGUGACCCUUACCUGGGGAGUCGGCACGAGACCUAGUUUGACUUGCCCUACAAUGGCCAACUCAACUGAAGAAAAGCAGAAAAAACAGUUCCCACAGUCUUUGCGGUGAGUGACGCUACAACCCUGACCAAGCCAUCACCACCUCCCCUGCUGGAGCCAAAACAGACUCCUAUUGAUGAAGGAAAAUGGAAACCCCUCAUCAUGAAGCACUGGAGCUCUUGAGUUUGAGAUGAACGCACUGGAGGAAACCCUGAGGGAAUGAUUAAUUAAAUGAACCCUACAUGCCUCAAUUCAAGCCCUGCGAGAAGACAGAACUUGAGUGCAUAUUUUCUGAAUGAUCAAGGCUUGAUCGACCGACAUCAGCAUGAUGACAGACGUUUAAAGAUGAGAUCAGUGGACCUACAGGCACCACAGUCUCCUUCCCAGCAUUCCCUUUACCCAUAUCUCUCCCUACAAUGUGCAAACACCAAGCACUCCCUUUCUAUGUGACCCCACGAUGCAAAGCUCUUCAUGCACUGAAAUGAUUUCAUGGCCAAAGCAUUAAUGAGAUGAUAUCACUUCACCCCCCCACCCAAAACUCUGUUCAGUAACACCACAGUUUUCCGCUGACAUCACUGUGCACAAUUCAUGUCAGACGAGGCCCCUGAGCACCCAGAUGCACUCAGGUCCUGUAAAUAGAAGAGUGUUGAGCUAAUUUGAAGUGUAUGCUGAAGAGGCAACAGAUGUAUCGCUCAUAACACAACGUUUCUGCCGAAAACAAGGUCACACCUGUGGCAGGAUACAUCUCAGAUAGCAGAGGAACGCUGAGAGAUUGACACAG
ensembl:lncRNA